AUGUGAUCUGAGUUCAGACCGGAGUAAUCCAGGUCAGUUUCUAUCUAUAAAAGGCUUUUUCUAGUACGAAAGGACCAAAAAAGCAUGGCCAAUAAUAUAAACAAGCCAUAAGAACCAUAUAUGAUUAACACUUAAUAAAUAAAAUCCUUAACACCAACCUCUAAUAAAGAGUU
rnacentral:rRNA from 1 species